GCUGCUAUGGCUCAGGUGGCAGAGCACAUCCUUGGUAAGGAUGAGGUCACCAGUUCGAAUCUGGUUAGCAGCUCCA
rnacentral:tRNA from 5 species